rnacentral:lncRNA from 1 species
UAUGUAUUCCUUUGGCCUCUCUUGCAAUCUCUCUCUCUCUUUUUCCUUCUUCUGUUUUCUAGAAUGCAGAUGCUAUCCUUGGGAACAUGAGAUGGAGGCCACAUACAGUAUGGUGACAAGAUGGAAUGAGCCGGGGAGGUUCCACACCCAGCAUGGAGCCCAAUGCAGGACCCAAACUCAUGACCCUGUGAUCAAGACCUCAGCUGAGAUCAGGAGUUGGAUGUUCAACCAACUGAGCCACACUGGCACCCCUAAAACUGAAGCUUUUAACCAGUUACAUUAA